AACGAACGCUGGCGGCAGGCCUAACACAUGCAAGUCGAGCGCCCCAGCGAUGGGGAGCGGCGGACGGGUGAGUAACGCGUGGGAACGUGCCUCUUGCUACGGAAUAGCCUCGGGAAACUGGGAGUAAUACCGUAUGUGCCCUACGGGGGAAAGAUUUAUCGGCAAGAGAUCGGCCCGCGUUGGAUUAGGUAGUUGGUGGGGUAAUGGCCUACCAAGCCGACGAUCCAUAGCUGGUUUGAGAGGAUGAUCAGCCACACUGGGACUGAGACACGGCCCAGACUCCUACGGGAGGCAGCAGUGGGGAAUCUUAGACAAUGGGCGCAAGCCUGAUCUAGCCAUGCCGCGUGAGCGAUGAAGGCCUUAGGGUUGUAAAGCUCUUUCAGUGGGGAAGAUAAUGACUGUACCCACAGAAGAAGCCCCGGCUAACUCCGUGCCAGCAGCCGCGGUAAAGUCUGUACU
rnacentral:rRNA from 1 species